rnacentral:rRNA from 1 species
GUUGUCCGGAAUUAUUGGGCGUAAAGCGCGCGCAGGCGGUCCUUUAAGUCUGAUGUGAAAGCCCACGGCUUAACCGUGGAGGGUCAUUGGAAACUGGGGGACUUGAGUACAGAAGAGGAGAGUGGAAUUCCACGUGUAGCGGUGAAAUGCGUAGAGAUGUGGAGGAACACCAGUGGCGAAGGCGACUCUCUGGUCUGUAACUGACGCUGAGGCGCGAAAGCAUGGGUAGCGAACAGG